rnacentral:tRNA from 1 species
GCUUCGAUAGCUCAACGGUCAGAGCAAGCGGAAUAGCGCAAAUACCCAACGGUCGGACCCCAAACCAACCAUGGCACCAUACUGCACACAACCAUGAUGACAACAACGCAUUCCACCCACGCCGGUCCGACUCCGGCACGAAGCA